UGGCGGACGGGUGAGUAACGCGUGGGUAACCUGCCUCAUACAGGGGGAUAACAGUUAGAAAUGACUGCUAAUACCGCAUAAGACCACGGAGCCGCAUGGCUCAGUGGGAAAAACUCCGGUGGUAUGAGAUGGACCCGCGUCUGAUUAGGUAGUUGGUGGGGCAACGGCCUACCAAGCCAACGAUCAGUAGCCGACCUGAGAGGGUGACCGGCCACAUUGGGACUGAGGCACGGCCCAA
rnacentral:rRNA from 1 species